rnacentral:rRNA from 1 species
CCUACGGGAGGCUGCAGUGAGGAAUAUUGGUCAAUGGGCGUAAGCCUGAACCAGCCAAGCCGCGUGAGGGAUGAAGGUUCUAUGGAUCGUAAACUUCUUUUAUAAGGGAAUAAAGUGUGGGACGUGUCCUCUUUUGUAUGUACCUUACGAAUAAGGAUCGGCUAACUCCGUGCCAGCAGCCGCGGUAAUACGGAGGAGCCGAGCGUUAUCCGGAUUUAUUGGGUUUAAAGGGUGCGUAGGCGGCCGUUUAAGUCAGCGGUGAAAGUCCGUGGCUCAACCAUAGAAUUGCCGUUGAAACUGGGGGGCUGGAGUGUGUGAGAGGCAGGCGGAAUGCGUGGUGUAGCGGUGAAAUGCUUAGAUAUCACGAGGAACCCCGGUGGCGAAGGCGGCCUACUGGACCAUAACUGACGCUGAUGCACGAAAGCGUGGGGAUCAAACAGGAUUAGAUACCCUAGUAGUC